UCAAUAUUUUCUUCACCCCUGGCUGCGAGAGCCCCGGAUUAAUAGGAGGCUGUACGGAAGAACCAAGUUGCUAGCAGCGCAUCGGACAACGAGAUUAACCAGCACGCCAUCCGCUGGUUCAACCCGGCCUCUGACCGCAGAGGUGGCCGCAAAGAACGUGCCAUGGCCAGAGAUGCAUUAACCAUGGAAUGAACGCAUCAGCCAUCCCACACUCUUCCAUGAUGGUUUGUUGGACGUUAUGUGACGGUUGUUCCAACAGUU